GUAGGCUCCUGGACAGACAUAGGUGACAGAGCAGGCCAUUCACAGGGCAGCAGCAGAUCAAGGUAAAGAAGGUGAAGCCUCCGGUCAAGGUUCAGAUCCCCCAGGAGGAGACAGAGGAGGAAGAGGAGGAAGAGGAGGAAACGAGAGAAGUUGCGUCCCCUCCUCCUCCCCCAGCUGUGAAGAAGCCACCCAAACAAAGCAGGACCAAAGCUGCAAAAGAAGAUGAGGCAGAGUCAGCAGGGGAGGAAGAGCUGGCCCAGGGGAAGGUACCCACAGUGAGCAGGUCUACUCCUCAGCAACCAAAAACCAGCAGGACACCCACAGUGCAGAGCUCCAACUCCACAACUCAGCGGCCAGAACCCAGCAGGGCACCCACAGUGCAGAGCUCCAACUCCACAACUCAGCGGCCAGAACCCAGCAGGGAAAUUCGUAACAUCAUCCGUAUGUACCAGAGCCGUCCAGGCCCUGUGCCUGUGCCUGUGCAACCCACCAGGCCCUUCAAAACUUUUCAGAAGAAAAACGACCCUAAGGAUGAGGCUCUGGCUAAGCUAGGGAUAAAUGGUGCUGACUCACCCCCUUCGACAGUGUCUCCUAACCUAGGGAGGGGCUCCCCACCAGCCGUGGCUCCUCGACCCAAGUCCCGGCCACGACUCGAGCCCUCCAUCUCCAUCAAGGAAAAGCAGGAACCCCUUCGGGACUUGUUUGGCCCAAGCCCAUCCACGGCCCAGAUACCCCCAGCUCCACCAGCACCCCCACUGCCUCCACCUGAGGAACCCAGGACUCCUUCAGCAGAGAUUCACGGUGAGGAAUUUAUGACCCCUUGUGCUGUGAGCCUUUGGAGGUGGUAGCAAGACACAGA
rnacentral:lncRNA from 1 species